rnacentral:rRNA from 1 species
CGGGAACAAAGAGAAGCGAGACUGUGAAGUGGAGCAAAACUCAAAAACCGAUCCCAGUUCGGAUUGCAGGCUGCAACUCGCCUGCAUGAAGUCGGAGUUGCUAGUAAUCGCAGAUCAGAAUGCUGCGGUGAAUGCGUUCCCGGGUCUUGUACACACCGCCCGUCACACCAUGGAAGUUGGGGGCGCCCGAAGUCGGCUAGGAAAUAGGCUGCCUAAGGUGAAACCAAUGACUGGGGUGAAGUCGUAACAAGGUAAC